GUUGGGCGUGGUGGUGCACACCUGUAAUCCCAGCACUCGGAGGCUGAAGCAGGAGGAUCCUCACAAGUUGGAGGCCAGCCUGGGCUACAAAGUGAGCCCAAGGCCAGCCUGAAGUGCAUCUCGAGACCCUGUCUCAAAAAGACAAAAAAAAAAGUUUAUUUUUGAGACAGGGUCUCGCUAUGCACUUCAGGCUGGCCUUGGACUUAACUAUGUAGCUCAGGCUGGCCUCCAACUCACAGCAAGCCUCCUGCCUCAU
rnacentral:SRP_RNA from 1 species